UUUUGGAAAAAUCUCUAACCAUAUCAUUCUUCUCCUAUAAAUAAACAGUCUUGACAUAAGGCAGAUUUUCAGUCUCCAUAGAAGCCUUGGCAUUCAUUUUUUAAGAAGCUUUUCCAUUGCCCCAUACUAUUGUUUAACUAAUAUUUUUUUUCUCUAAAAUAUUGGCUUUGAUUCCUUUUUUCGAUAUUGAACGAAAUUCAAGUUUCAAAUUUGCUCGAGUUCGUUAUUGUUCGAUGGACAUUUGAUCGCAACAGCCCUAUUCACUGCCCUACAAUAGGUGGUAGGUGAAAAGUGCAGUGUCCUACGUCAGUAGAAAAAACGGACGAAAUUGCCUGUUUCAGUGUCUCACAAAUGAAGGGACCUGGUCCCUACCAGAGUUCUCUCCAUCAGAUGUAAAAUGGGGUACAACUAUAAAAGUUGUCCGCGUCAGGAGGUUGGUGAAACAUCAGUGUACUACACCAAUCAAAAUGGAUCCAGUUGUUUGUCCAAUGAUCAAUAAACACUUUAUGGUUGAGUUAGUCAACAUGAUAAACAACAAAUAAACUCGUUCAUACAAAGAAAAAAGUCAGUCAGCAAACCUUUCAACAACUCAUAAAGAAGUUUGCAAAGGAUCUGGGGCAAGAUUGCUUGCGUGAAAAGGUGACAAGAUAGUUGUCAGAAAGGCUGCUACUGUAGGUGUACAACUUUACUAAUAGCAGACCUUCAGCAAUGGGAUUGUCUCAAGAGUUUGUGGUGAUUUAUAUUAUCUCUUUCCAACAAACAAAAACUUAAGACUUGGCAAACUAAACCUGGAUUUUUCUAAAAAUUCACAAGCUUGAAAAGAAGGUCAUCUUCAAAGAAGAACAUUGCUCAUAUCAACAAAGGACUAGAUGGAGUACUGAAGAGUCUUUGUUGUAUUUUAAGCUUUGUGUCUCGUGUCUUUUAUUGUAAAUCUAUUCCUAAUCUAUAAAUGAAUUAGAUCUUCAUUCUGUUCUACCAAAAUUCUAAGUCGUCUAGUGGUAGGUGAUUUAGUGGGCAGUGUUGUAUCUUCUUAGUCGAAGUCUAAGUUAUCUAGAGGUAGGUAGCUUAGUGGGCAGUGUGGUAUCUGCUCUGGCUCAUCUAAGUGGUAGGACGUAUUGCUUAGGGUGGAGGUUAGCAGGCUAAUCUCCUCUAGUAAACUGGUUUUUACUUUUUCUUUGAGAAGAUUAGUGAAGCAGUUUGAAAGUUCUUGUUGAGAUAGGUCAUGAUUUUACUGUCUUGAGUAAGGAGGUUUUCACGUAAAAUUGUUUGUUCAAUCUUUAUUUUCAGCACCUAUUAAACUGUGUGUUAUUGUAACUGUGUUGAGGACCUAGUCCUAUCAAAAUAAGUAUACGCAUAUGUUUAGUUA